CAGGGCUUGCACUUCUGCAGGCUCCGGUCCUCCUUGAAGCGACUGCUCCGGCAGGGCACGCACCGGGCAUCCUCUCCAUAACCAAAGCCACAUUCCUGUGGGGAUUAAAGGGAGAAAUACACCGGUUUGGGUGAGACUGCCAAGCAUAACAGCAGUGUGGAGGGGAGAGGAGCAGCAAGAGAGGGGAGAGCUGGCUGGGACCUGAAGCAUGUUCAGACGCAGAGAUAUUUCUGAGAUUAGGAGGGAAUCACAAGGGGGGCGGCCAGUCAUCUGAUCUGGUAAUGAAACGACGCUGAAAACAAUGCAUGUUAGUUAAAGCAGUGUUCUGUCUGGGACAAAAUGUACGUACUCCUUUUGUUUUCCUCUUCAUUACACUUUUUAAAGCUUUUUUUUUUACUGCCUCACUUCUUCAAACACAAGAAUGGUGCAGCUAAUGUCAGGCUGCUCAGAUUUUGACCACUCUGUUGCUUAUGCAUUCCUUUGUUUCUCUCUUUAGCCAGUACCAUCCAGAAGUCCUUUGCCCUGGGAGUGUGGCUGAAGGAAAUGUUACACUCUUGCUACAUACUACAAGAUGUUGACACAUCAAAGUUGUGUUCCUGCCUUUUUUUUUUUGCCACUGGCAGUUUUCCAGCGUGCACUGGAAAGCAAUUCACCCCUUCCCCUUCAUGCUUGACACAACACAAGAGACGAAGCAACUCGCAAUGAAUGAAACCAAGAAUGAAAUAUGUCCGACAAAGAAUAACUGGUUUUAAUGGACGUCCCCUCUGUGUGGGUGGUUCUUUUAGCUACAGUUAGUGUGAAGGGGCUAAUUGAUGUUUGUCAGCUCGCCUAAGAGCGGCUUCCAGAGGCAAACUUCCAGAGCAAACUGGGGCACAUUCCUCUGGGAUCUCUAUGGCAGCUGCACAGAGUGACUCCAAAAGUCUGCUUCCCUCCCAACAGUCAGCCCUGCCUUUCAGAAUAUGGACAGAUUGUCUUGGUUACGCGGAGCUCAGAUCAGAAGUAGUUUCUCUGGGAAACUUUCUCUGAGUGCAGGCCCAGGUCGCCACUGUGAGCCGGCAUCCCGCUACCUUCAGAGAAAGAAUGAGGCAGCCAAUUAUUAACCAGGACCCCAGGGUGGCUAGCAGCAUUCAAGCCUGUUGAGCUGGCAGAGGAACACGAGGACUACUGAAGCGUAUUACCAACCACAGAGUGCAUGUCUGUGUGCACUGAGAUUAAAGGCAACUUGGCUUAAAUGCAUGUGUGCAACAGAUGUCAAGGGUGAUACAGAGCUUUUUUUCUCGAGUGCUCACAGAAGUAGUGGAGUGUUAACUCGCCUAAAGUCAGUCUAUCAGCCUUUUUAUUAAUGGAAUACUUAAAACAACACAUACCUUAAGUUAUGACGACAAAAAUCUCCUUUUGGAACCAUUUAAUUUAAUUUACAGUGCUAUCUUUUUUUCUUAAGGCCCAUCAGUAUCUCUCGACUAAAUUGUUUAUAUAGUCGUGGCAGAUAUAAUCUCAUAUGAAUUCACUUGCUUGUUUAUUAGGUACACCUGGCUCGUCUAACAGCCCUGCAAUAAAUCCUGAAUGAAGGUUAUAAUGUUCA